rnacentral:rRNA from 1 species
AGAAUCAACGCUGGCGGCGUGCCUAACACAUGCAAGUCAAACGCGAAAGCCCUUUCGGGGGUAAGUAGAGUGGCGUCCGGGUGAGUAACACGUGGGUAAUCUGCCUUCGGGUGGGGAAUAACCCAGGGAAACUUGGGCUAAUACCGCAUAAUGCAGCGGCACCUAAUGGUGAUUAGUUGUUAAAGCGGGGGAUCGCAAGACCUCGCGCCUGAAGAGGAGCCUGCGGCAGAUUAGCUAGUUGGUGAGGUAAUGGCUCACCAAGGCUUCGAUCUGUAGCUGGUCUGAGAGGACGGCCAGCCACACUGGCACUGACACACGGGCCAGACUCCUACGGGAGGCAGCAGUGGGGAAUUUUGGGCAAUGGGCGAAAGCCUGACCCAGCAACGCCGCGUGAGGGAGGAAAUCCUUCGGAUGUAAACCUCACAAGCAAGGAGGAGAGCGUGCGGCUAGAAUAAUCCUGCAGUGCGACGGUACCUGCGUAAGCCACGCUAACGUACGUGACCG